CGGGACUAGUGGCGGACGGGUGAGUAACGCGUGGGAAUAUGCCCUUUGGUACGGAAUAGCCUCGGGAAACUGAGAGUAAUACCGUAUGUGCCCUUUGCUUGUAGUGAGCAGGGGGGAAAGAUUUAUCGCCAAAGGAUUAGCCCGCGUUGGAUUAGGUAGUUGGUGGGGUAAUGGCCUACCAAGCCGACGAUCCAUAGCUGGUUUGAGAGGAUGAUCAGCCACACUGGGACUGAGACACGGCCCAGACUCC
rnacentral:rRNA from 1 species